rnacentral:rRNA from 1 species
UACGGAGGAUCCAAGCGUUAUCCGGAAUCAUUGGGCUUAAAGGGUCCGUAGGCGGUUUUAUAAGUCAGUGGUGAAAUCCGGUAGCUCAACUAUCGAACUGCCAUUGAUACUGUAGAACUUGAAUUAUUGUGAAGUAACUAGAAUAUGUAGUGUAGCGGUGAAAUGCUUAGAUAUUACAUGGAAUACCAAUUGCGAAGGCAGGUUACUAACAAUACAUUGACGCUGAUGGACGAAAGCGUGGGGAGCGAACAGG